AUGAUAUAUGGAACAGCCUUAGUAUCUCUUUUAAAUAAGGUAAAUAUAAUACAAAACCAGACAUUGCGAUUAUGCUGUGGAGCAUUUAAAACUUCUCCUGCAUCAGCUUUACAGGUUGAAAUGAAUGAGAUGACACUGGAGCUUCACAGGUUGAAGCUGAAACUAGUAUACUGGUCUACUGUAAAAGGGCAUUCGGAAAUACAUCCAGUCAAAAAAGUAUUAGAAGACUGUUGGGAACAUGACUAUGUAUAUAUAAAUAGUUUUGGAUGGAAAGCAAGUAAUGAGGCACAUGAAAUUGGAAUAAGUAAUUGUGAUGUUUGCAAUACUGUUGUGUUGCCAGUAACACCUCCAUGGUUAUUCCCAAUGCCUGUAGUUGACUUUCAGGUUUUAGUGAGUAUAAAUUAUAAAAAUAGACAAGAAUCUAAAAGUUCAAUAGUACAGAAAUAUUUAGAUCAGAAAUAUAUGUCAGAAACUCGUAUAUAUACAGAUGGAUCUAAAGAUCCUGAAACAGGACACACAGCAGCAGCAAUAUAUGUUCCAAAGUUCAGGUAUAGAAUAUCAAAAAGAUCAUCUAAUCAUCUGUCAGUUUAUACCACAGAAAUGAUUGCCAUAUUUUUGGCUCUUCAGUGGGUUGAAGACAUACAAGAAGUAGUAAUAUGUUCAGACUCAUUUUCAGCACUGUCAAGUUUAAAGAGCGGAAAAUCCUCAACAAGACAAGACAUUUUACUAAUUUUAUUCAGAAUACAAUCAAAAACAAUUAUUUAUUUUGUAUGGAUACCUGCACAUAUAGGUAUAGAAGGUAAUGAAGUGGUGGAUCAGAUCAUGAAAAAAACAUUAAAACGUCCAGACAUAGAAUUUAAUAGUCCAUUGAGUAAAUUAGAAAUAAGAGGGCUAAUUAAAAAAGCAUUAAAAGAUAUGUGGCAAAUAAAAUGGGAUGGUGAGAAUAAAGGACGGCAUUUAUACAAUAUUCAAAGAACAGCUCGAAAUGAGAGGAGAAUUUGUGGAAAUAGAAAGGAAGACCGCAUAAUAUCUCAUCUUAGAAUUGGACACACUGCACUUAACCAAUCUUUAUUUAUAUUAGGUAAACAUGAGUCUGGACUUUGUAUAAAAUGUGAUCUUCCUGAAACAGUUGAACAUAUUUUAAUAAAAUGUAAAGGAUAUGAUAAGGAUAGAUUACAACUUAUAGAAUAA
rnacentral:lncRNA from 1 species